AGAGAGAGAAAGAGAGACAAAAGUGCAAAGAGUGCAACAGCAAUUGCAGCAAAGAACAGCGAAGAGAGAGCAAAAGCAAAGAGCAGCUGGCCAAAAUGGAAUGACCAGAGGCGCACACACGUCGCCAACGGAAGAUGCUGCAGCAGGCAGCAGCAACACCAGCACCAACACCAAUAGCACCAGUAGC